GUUGGGGCCGUUAGGCCUUAGUAGCGCAGCUAACGCGUGAAGUUGACCGCCUGGGGAGUACGGUCGCAAGAUUAAAACUCAAAGGAAUUGACGGGGACCCGCACAAGCGGUGGAUGAUGUGGAUUAAUUCGAUGCAACGCGAAAAACCUUACCUACCCUUGACAUGUCUGGAAUGCCGAAGAGAUUUGGCAGUGCUCGCAAGAGAACCGGAACACAGGUGCUGCAUGGCUGUCGUCAGCUCGUGUCGUGAGAUGUUGGGUUAAGUCCCGCAACGAGCGCAACCCUUGUCAUUAGUUGCUACGCAAGAGCACUCUAAUGAGACUGCCGGUGACAAACCGGAGGAAGGUGGGGAUGACGUCAAGUCCUCAUGGCCCUUAUGGGUAGGGCUUCACACGUCAUACAAUGGUCGGGACAGAGGGUCGCCAACCCGCGAGGGGGAGCCAAUCUCAGAAACCCGAUCGUAGUCCGGAUCGCAGUCUGCAACUCGACUGCGUGAAGUCGGAAUCGCUAGUAAUCGCGGAUCAGA
rnacentral:rRNA from 1 species